UACAGAGGGGGCAAGCGUUAUUCGGAAUUAUUGGGCGUAAAGGGCGCGUAGGCGGCUUGGCAAGUGGAUGGUGAAAUCCCUCGGCUUAACCGAGGAACUGCCGUCCAAACUGCUUCGCUUGAGACCAGGAGAGGUGAGUGGAAUUCCCAGUGUAGCGGUGAAAUGCGUAGAUAUUGGGAGGAACACCAGUGGCGAAGGCGGCUCACUGGACUGGUACUGACGCUGAGGCGCGAAAGCGUGGGGAGCAAACGGG
rnacentral:rRNA from 1 species